AUAAACUAAAAAUUUAAACCCUAGAAACUAGUCAUAUUCUCACUUUUCACUUUUCAAUCUUUGAACCUUCCAAAAAGUUGAUCAAUCUUUGUUCUUCUUAUUCUUCUCAUUCAUAUGCUCAUCUAUUUGGUGAUAGUCAGAUGGAGACUACGGCUGGAGCUGAUGUAGAAAUGAUUAUCGACAAUCCUCCGGUUGUAUCCAUACCUCAAAAUAAAGAUAACAUUGGAGGUGACACUAACAUUAUGGGUGAAGUUGAUGAUAUAUUGCCUUCUCAAUGGGAGAAACAAUUAGAAGGUGGUCGUAUUCUUGAUUCAUAUCAGAGUUCUUUAUAACCAAAGACAUUAGAAGCACUUAUUUGUACUCAACAAUGGAUAAAAUUGCAAGAAGUUACAAAAAGGUGCUCCUUUGAGUGUCGAUUAGUUCAAUGAAUAAGAUUUUUGCAAUUCUUUUGAUAUAUAGAUUGUAUGUCUAGGUGAUCGUUUGAGUAUAUAUUAGUUCGGAUGAAGAAAACACAUGCAAGUCGAACCUUGGUUUUCGGAGUUCGAAAGAGAAGGGGAAGAAGCGGAGUAGAGGAAUUGGUCAACUCAUCAGGCUCAUGACCUGAAGAUUGCAGGUUCGAAUCCUGUCCCCGCCUAAUCAGUGGAACAUUGUUCACCGGGAUAGAAGGCCGGAGUGGCUUUGCAAUUUUUUGUUGGAGUUUUAAGAGGAUAUUUUACUAACAUAAUGUGAAGUGUUGUGUUUUUAAUUUUCAAUGUUAAAUAGAGUUAUUAUUUAUAAACUAUUAGGAAAAUGCACAAGUACCCCCUUAACCUAUGCCCGAAAUCCAAAAGACACACUUAUAUUAUACUAAGGUCCUA